UAUUCCCCACUGCUGCCUCCCGUAGGAGUCUGGGCCGUAUCUCAGUCCCAAUGUGCCCGAUCACCCUCUUAGGCCGGGUAACUACCGUUGCCUUGGUGGGCCGUUACCUCACCAACUAGCUAAUAGUACGCGGGCCGCUCUCUGUGCGAAUCAAAAGAUCCUUUCCUGUAUGUCCUCUGACAACAUACAGCGUAUCCGGUAUUAUCUCCUAUUUCUAGGAGCUGUCCCCGUCACAAAGGUACGUCACCCACGCGUUACUCACCAGUCCGCCGCUCUAGGUUAGAAGCAAGCUUCCAACUUACCGCUCGACUUGCAUGCUUAAGACGCGCCGCCAGCGUUCAUCCUGAGCCAA
rnacentral:rRNA from 1 species